UGCAAGUCGAACGCGUUGGCCCAAUUGAUUGAUGGUGCUUGCACCUGAUUGAUUUUGGUCGCCAACGAGUGGCGGACGGGUGAGUAACACGUAGGUAACCUGCCCAGAAGCGGGGGACAACAUUUGGAAACAGAUGCUAAUACCGCAUAACAGCGUUGUUCGCAUGAACAACGCUUAAAAGAUGGCUUCUCGCUAUCACUUCUGGAUGGACCUGCGGUGCAUUAGCUUGUUGGUGGGGUAACGGCCUACCAAGGCGAUGAUGCAUAGCCGAGUUGAGAGACUGAUCGGCCACAAUGGGACUGAGACACGGCCCAUACUCCUACGGGAGGCAGCAGUAGGGAAUCUUCCACAAUGGGCGCAAGCCUGAUGGAGCAACACCGCGUGAGUGAAGAAGGGUUUCGGCUCGUAAAGCUCUGUUGUUAAAGAAGAACACGUAUGAGAGUAACUGUUCAUACGUUGACGGUAUUUAACCAGAAAGUCACGGCUAACUACGUGCCAGCAGCCGCGGUAAUACGUAGGUGGCAAGCGUUAUCCGGAUUUAUUGGGCGUAAAGAGAGUGCAGGCGGUUUUCUAAGUCUGAUGUGAAAGCCUUCGGCUUAACCGGAGAAGUGCAUCGGAAACUGGAUAACUUGAGUGCAGAAGAGGGUAGUGGAACUCCAUGUGUAGCGGUGGAAUGCGUAGAUAUAUGGAAGAACACCAGUGGCGAAGGCGGCUACCUGGUCUGCAACUGACGCUGAGACUCGAAAGCAUGGGUAGCGAACAGGAUUAGAUACCCUGGUAGUCCAUGCCGUAAACGAUGAGUGCUAGGUGUUGGAGGGUUUCCGCCCUUCAGUGCCGGAGCUAACGCAUUAAGCACUCCGCCUGGGGAGUACGACCGCAAGGUUGAAACUCAAAGGAAUUGACGGGGGCCCGCACAAGCGGUGGAGCAUGUGGUUUAAUUCGAAGCUACGCGAAGAACCUUACCAGGUCUUGACAUCUUGCGCCAACCCUAGAGAUAGGGCGUUUCCUUCGGGAACGCAAUGACAGGUGGUGCAUGGUCGUCGUCAGCUCGUGUCGUGAGAUGUUGGGUUAAGUCCCGCAACGAGCGCAACCCUUGUUACUAGUUGCCAGCAUUAAGUUGGGCACUCUAGUGAGACUGCCGGUGACAAACCGGAGGAAGGUGGGGACGACGUCAGAUCAUCAUGCCCCUUAUGACCUGGGCUACACACGUGCUACAAUGGACGGUACAACGAGUCGCGAACUCGCGAGGGCAAGCAAAUCUCUUAAAACCGUUCUCAGUUCGGACUGCAGGCUGCAACUCGCCUGCACGAAGUCGGAAUCGCUAGUAAUCGCGGAUCAGCAUGCCGCGGUGAAUACGUUCCCGGGCCUUGUACACACCGCCCGUCACACCAUGAGAGUUUGUAACACCCAAAGUCGGUGGGGUAACCUUUUAGGAGCC
rnacentral:rRNA from 1 species